CCGAAAUUUCUAUUCAGGCAACAAGCGAAUUAGGGGAACAUACAGUGACGCCAACAAAUGGGCUUCCACCUGCCUAAAAAACCUUGGAUAGAAGGGCCGGGCAAGACCGGUGCCAGCCGCCGCGGUAAUACCGGCGGCUCGAGUGGUGGCCGCUAUUAUUGGGUUAAAGGUUCGUAGCGGCUUGUAAGUCUCCUUGGAAAUUCCGCGGUAACUGUAGGGCUUCCAGGGGAUACUGCAUUGCUAGGGACCGGGAGAGGAGAGAUUC
rnacentral:rRNA from 1 species